UGGAGGCUCAAAUGCAGCAAUGCGUAGCUGUAGUGUCUCCGUGAUGUACGAACAUAUAUAAAGAGGAUUGGAUCCCCACAAAAUGCGCAUGUCAGUGUUGGUGUUGGAGUUUAACUUGUGACGUAGAGGAGCUCGUUACCAUGGAGCCUGCCGACAGAAGAAGGGGUUCCCCUCUAUGGCAGCACUUUGAGCUGAUCUCUCCCAAUAAGAUCAUUUGACAAGUCUUUUGCUGUCCCCAUGACUCGGGACCCAAAAACGUCGGUGCAGCACUGGACCUGCAGCGUCUGUCUGAAGGCCUGAAACUCCUCCCACGCUGAUCACAGACAUCAGCAGGAUCGAGGACGUCUGAGGACGUUCCCCACCACAUGAAUGGGGGACGGGAGGCACAGCUUCCAGCCCAGCUGAACCAUUUCCAUCCUGGACCACAGCUCUCCUGGCGUUUCUUGUUGUUUCUGGAGGUCUUUUAUUCUAUUUCUGGCAGUAUUUCAUGUCAGAGUGUCGGGUGGAGGUGGAGGAGUCUGUCUGGCUGCCUUUUAAAACCACAGCUCAGCUGCCUGAAGACACUCUGAUAGAGUGGUGGCACCGUCCUGAGAAGCCUGACAAACAGGAGCGGGAUUAUAGAAGAUGAAGAUGAAAGACGAGCGUCUGAAAAGCAGACAGUUCAGCCUGACCUUUAAACGCUCCACAGAGAGAGACAGUGGCAGAUACAGCUGUGUGGCCUGGAGCCACGGACACGUAAUCGGAUGAAGAAUCAUGCUGCUCACAAUUACAGGGAGAGAUCAGCACAUCAGGAACAGAAGCAGCUCCACUGAUCCGACUCCUCUGAUGGCUGAUCGAUCAGUUUGAUCUGUUUGUUCUUUGAUUAUUGAUCAGUGAUGUCAGAGUGGAAUCAGUGUGAUGAUAUGAAUUCUACUGUAAACACCUUUUCCUUCAUUUUCUCCUAGUGAUCACUUUAUGUCUUUACUCUGUAGUCAUGUCCUGUUUAAAGCUUUGUGAGUGUCGGGUGUAAGCAGUGAGCAAUCUGCAUGAGUGGGAGACGUGGACGCUGUUGCAGGAAGGCUGCAUUUUAUUUAUUUAUGUGAGUUUAAUCCAUAAAUUAAUAAAGAGCCA